rnacentral:rRNA from 1 species
UACGGAGGGUGCAAGCAUUAAUCGGAUUUAUUGGGCGUAAAGGGCGCGUAGGCGGAAAGGAAAGUCAGGUGUGAAAUCCCGGGGCUCAACCCCGGAACUGCAUUUGAAACUCCCUUUCUAGAGGAUAGGCGGAGAAAAUGGAAUUCCACAAGUAGCGGUGAAAUGCGUAGAUAUGUGGAAGAACACCAGUGGCGAAGGCGGUUUUCUAGCUUAUUCCUGACGCUGAGGCGCGAAAGCAAGGGGAGCAAACAGG